UGUGAGCGUCGUGACUGGCGUACAGAUGGUUCACCAUCGGGGAACGACAACUCUUCAUGGAUGGCCGCUCGCCUGGGUCGAUAUC
rnacentral:ncRNA from 2 species